GAUGAAGAACGCAGCGAAAUGCGAUAAGUAAUGUGAAUUGCAGAAUUCAGUGAAUCAUCGAAUCUUUGAACGCACAUUGCGCCCUCUGGUAUUCCGGAGGGCAUGCCUGUUCGAGCGUCAUUAUAACCACUCAAGCUCUCGCUUGGUAUUGGGGUUCGCGGUUCCGCGGCCCCUAAAAUCAGUGGCGGUGCCUGUCGGCUCUACGCGUAGUAAUACUCCUCGCGAUUGAGUCCGGUAGGUCUACUUGCCAGCAACCCCCAAUUUUUACAGGUUGACCUCGGAUCAGGUAGGGAUACCCGCUGAACUUAAGCAUAUCAAUAAGGGAGGA
rnacentral:misc_RNA from 1 species